rnacentral:ribozyme from 14 species
AUAUAUGGACUAUGUGAAUACCGUAAAGGAGCCAAAGGAGCCAAAGAGUAGAACGUGAAGUUUAGGUUCGAAUUAGAGCUCUCAUAUUUAUGUUUCUCGAUCCCACUUUCCUCUUCUCUCUCUCUCUCUCUCUCUCUCUCU